CAUAGAUAUAGGAGAUCUAGAUUGCUAACGCAUACCUAGCGCAGGCCGGGCCUACAUGAUAAAUCCAAGAUGGCGGUACAACAGGAUUUUUGCAUUUUUUGCCGUCGCAUUGUUUUGAAACUAAUUCGGUCAAAUUUUAUGGCAAAGAGAAACUUACCGCGAAGAUUUUGAGCAUAUAUAUGAUUGAAUUGGAUGAAAAAUCGCAAAAUUAUCCAGCGAUAAAAGUUCGUGUGAAAUGGUCAGUUGGUCAGUUGGAGCGUUUUAUUGCCAGAAAUACUGUGCUAUGUUAACAUCUAGCCUUGUGAAUGGUGUUUUAUACUUGCAUCUCUCAUCAUCAUCUUCUCUGUCCUCAUAAUUAUGAAAAAUGAACUGUUAUGUACCCCCCCCCCCUCCCCCUCCUUGCUUGUUAGAGAAGUAAACUAAUGAGAGCACUGGAUGAGGGUCUAUCAUCUAUGGUCUGUUAUAAUUUGCUUUUUAUGCAAAUAGUGAGCAAAAAUUAAAGCAAAACUGUACAAGUUACAUAUAUAGUACUAUAUCAGUACUAUACACGAACUUUUAUCGAUGGAUAAUUUUGCGAGUUUUCAUCCAAUUCAAUCAUAUAUAU
rnacentral:lncRNA from 1 species